UGAGACAAACUUGAACAUUGUGGCACAUCUACUUGUAAUAACCAAAACCUGGAAAUAAUCAGAUAUCUCUCCAUGAAUACAUGGUUAAACAAAACACAGUACAACUUACUAUGGAUUACUACUCCCAAUAACAAGGAACAAACUGUUGAUGCAUUCAACAACCUGGAUGUAUCACCAAAGAACUAUGCCGACUGAAAAUAAAGUCAGUUUCCAAAGAUUACAUACGUAUAGAGAUGUAUAACUCCAGCAAUUUCAAAGAAGUUUUCAAAGAAGAACUUCCCUGCAACCCUCCUCAUAGAGCUAUUGACCUGGCAUCCUGGACUUUGAGGAACUAAGAUUGUUACUCACUUAAAGCUAUUGCUUCUUUCGCAUUCUUUCUUCUAAGACAAAAUUACCUGCCCUGUACUACCAGGUAAAGGAGAAUGUCAAAAGACUGCAGAUCAAGUAUAGUCUGGGCUUACUGAAGGAAGAAUAAUUUCUUGGAGAACAUUUCUACGCAACUGAUGGAAAGGUGAAGCAGGUUAUAGAAUCACCAUUCUACUGACAGGAAUAAGCUGUUGAUGAGCUCCUGGAUGAAAAACUGUACCUGCUUCAGCAGUAUAGGAGAACAAAGAUGUGAAGAGUGACAGGAAGCGUGAAAUCCUGACGAGCACACUUCCUUGAUGCCCUCAGACAGAUGUCCUUCUUGGGAAGAUGGUUAGCUCCAGUGACCUUAUGCUGUAACAUAUAAAAGAGAGAAUUGGUCCAGAGUGUGUUCCUCUGUGUUGCCAAUAAACUACCUUUUGCUUGCU